rnacentral:rRNA from 1 species
UAUACAACUUUCAGCAACGGAUCUCUUGGCUCUCGCAUCGAUGAAGAACGCAGCGAAAUGCGAUAAGUAAUGUGAAUUGCAGAAUUCAGUGAAUCAUCGAAUUUUUGAACGCAUCUUGCGCUCCUUGGUAUUCCAAGGAGCAUGCCUGUUUGAGUGUCAUCAAGUUCUCAACCACAUAUUUUUUGUGGCUUGGAUCGGUGGGGUGUUGCCGGCUGUUAUGGUAGGCUCUCCUUAAAUGAAUAAGUGGUAUUUAGAAAAGCUACUUGUUGGGUGUUAUAAAUUGAUAAUACACCUUCUGGCAAUUCUACUAUGCUGCUUCUAACACUUUGUUUAUGAUGAUUUUGACCUCAAAUCAGGUAGGACUACCCGCUGAACUUAAGCAUAUCAAUAAGCGGAGGAAAUCGUCGACCUGC